rnacentral:pre_miRNA from 1 species
UUAAUUCAAAUUUGUAUGGAGUUGGAAUGUUUGCCUACGUUUGCCGCUAGAGGCGCUGUUCUAACUGCAUACAAAUUCGAGUUA